rnacentral:rRNA from 1 species
UCAUCUUCGGGGGUAGAGCACUGUUUCGGCUAGGGGGUCAUCCCGACUUACCAACCCGAUGCAAACUGCGAAUACCGAAGAAUGUUAUCACGGGAGACACACGGCGGGUGCUAACGUCCGUCGUGAAGAGGGAAACAACCCAGACCGCCAGCUAAGGUCCCAAAGUCAUGGUUAAGUGGGAAACGAUGUGGGAAGGCACAGACAGCCAGGAUGUUGGCUUAGAAGCAGCCAUCAUUUAAAGAAAGCGUAAUAGCUCACUGGUCGAGUCGGCCUGCGCGGAAGAUGUAACGGGGCUAAACCAUGCACCGAAGCUGCGGCAGCGACACUAUGUGUUGUUGGGUAGGGGAGCGUUCUGUAAGCCGUUGAAGGUGUAUCGUGAGGUAUGCUGGAGGUAUCAGAAGUGCGAAUGCUGACAUAAGUAACGAUAAUGCGGGUGAAAAACCCGCACGCCGGAAGACCAAGGGUUCCUGUCCAACGUUAAUCGGGGCAGGGUGAGUCGACCCCUAAGGCGAGGCCGAAAGGCGUAGUCGAUGGGAAACAGGUUAAUAUUCCUGUACUUGGUGUUACUGCGAAGGGGGGACGGAGAAGGCUAUGUUAGCCGGGCGACGGUUGUCCCGGUUUAAGCAUGUAGGCGGAGGUUCCAGGUAAAUCCGGUACCUUUUUAACGCUGAGGUGUGAUGACGAGGCACUACGGUGCUGAAGUAACAAAUGCCCUGCUUCCAGGAAAAGCCUCUAAGCAUCAGGUAACACGAAAUCGUACCCCAAACCGACACAGGUGGUCAGGUAGAGAAUACCAAGGCGCUUGAGAGAACUCGGGUGAAGGAACUAGGCAAAAUGGUGCCGUAACUUCGGGAGAAGGCACGCUGAUAUGUAGGUGAAGUGAUUUACUCAUGGAGCUGAAAUCAGUCGAAGAUACCAGCUGGCUGCAACUGUUUAUUAAAAACACAGCACUGUGCAAACACGAAAGUGGACGUAUACGGUGUGACGCCUGCCCGGUGCCGGAAGGUUAAUUGAUGGGGUUAUCCGUAAGGAGAAGCUCUUGAUCGAAGCCCCGGUAAACGGCGGCCGUAACUAUAACGGUCCUAAGGUAGCGAAAUUCCUUGUCGGGUAAGUUCCGACCUGCACGAAUGGCGUAAUGAUGGCCAGGCUGUCUCCACCCGAGACUCAGUGAAAUUGAACUCGCUGUGAAGAUGCAGUGUACCCGCGGCAAGACGGAAAGACCCCGUGAACCUUUACUAUAGCUUGACACUGAACACUGGUCCUUGAUGUGUAGGAUAGGUGGGAGGCUUUGAAGUGUGGACGCCAGUCUGCAUGGAGCCAUCCUUGAAAUACCACCCUUUAAUGGCUGGUGUUCUAACGUGGACCCGUAAUCCGGGUUGCGGACAGUGUCUGGUGGGUAGUUUGACUGGGGCGGUCUCCUCCUAAAGAGUAACGGAGGAGCACGAAGGUUAGCUAAUCCUGGUCGGACAUCAGGAGGUUAGUGCAAAGGCAUAAGCUAGCUUGACUGCGAGAGUGACGGCUCGAGCAGGUGCGAAAGCAGGUCUUAGUGAUCCGGUGGUUCUGAAUGGAAGGGCCAUCGCUCAACGGAUAAAAGGUACUCCGGGGAUAACAGGCUGAUACCGCCCAAGAGUUCAUAUCGACGGCGGUGUUUGGCACCUCGAUGUCGGCUCAUCACAUCCUGGGGCUGAAGUAGGUCCCAAGGGUAUGGCUGUUCGCCAUUUAAAGUGGUACGCGAGCUGGGUUUAGAACGUCGUGAGACAGUUCGGUCCCUAUCUGCCGUGGGCGCUGGAGAAUUGAGGGGGGCUGCUCCUAGUACGAGAGGACCGGAGUGGACGCAUCACUGGUGUUCGGGUUGUCAUGCCAAUGGCAUUGCCCGGUAGCUAAAUGCGGAAGAGAUAAGUGCUGAAAGCAUCUAAGCACGAAACUUGCCCCGAGAUGAGUUCUCCCUGAGACUUUAAGUCUCCUGAAGGAACGUUGAAGACGACGACGUUGAUAGGUCGGGUGUGUAAGCGUAGCGAUACGUUGAGCUAACCGAUACUAAUGAACCGUGAGGCUUAACCUUACAACGCCGAAG